CUUCAGUUUGUUUGUUUUUAACUUUCAAGAUGCAUGUUUUGUUUUGUUUUGCUUUGUUUUUGUCUCUUAAGCCAAUUCAUUUUUCUAACAGUUGAAAUUCUUUUAGUACUAAAGAAAUAGAUACUGCUCUUUUAUGGCUUUAGUGUUUAUAUACCUGUUUAUAUGCAUACAUUAACAAAAUUAGUAACAGCAGUGCUUAGAAUUUCAAUGCUGUGUCAUACUGAUGAUUAACUCCAUACUCCUAGUGGUGAUGUGGUCCAGAUACUGGAAUGGAAGUGGCAGGAUGUGGAGUCCAGACAUAGUCUACCACUCAUGCUACUUACUAGUAAUAUUAAGGUGUUAAACUUAGGAAUUUGUCACAUGUAGGUUCCUGAGGAGAUCUAAAAGUUAAUACAAAACCAAGCUGUUUACUGAUUUUCAUGAGAACAUUUAAGUUAGUUUAGGUCUACCUGAUUUAUUUUAAAAGAAGGCAGAGUGCUGGGAUUACAGGCGUGAGCCACGUCCCCCAGCCAGUUUCUUAAUCUAUACAUCUAGCCCAGUCCAUGCCCCUGUUUCAGACUAUUAUAUCCAACCACCUGCUAUACAUCUCAUAAAGGUAUCUCAAACACAGCAUAUCUAAAGCUGAAGUCAUCAUCUUGCCCUGGUUUUUCCUGUCUCUUUGCUGAUGGCAUCCCAUUUACCCAGUCAUUCAAACUGGAAAUCUAAAAGCCUCACUUAGCAAGAGUUUGGAGGCAGAAUAUGAUAAAGAACAAGGACUCUGGGAGGCCAAGGCAGGUGGAUUGCUUGAGGUCAAGAGUUCGAGACCAGUCUGGCCAACAUGGCGAAACCCCGUCUUUGCUAAAAAAACACAAAGAAAUUAGCUAGACGUGGUGGCACAUGCCUGUAGUCCCAGCUGUGUGGGAGGCUGAGGCAGGGGAAUUGCUUGAACCUGGGAGGUGGAGGUUGCAGUGACCCAAGAUUGCAUGCACCACUGCACUCCAGCCUGGGUGACAAAGCGAGACCCUGUCUCAAAAAAAACAAGGACUCUACAGAUAGAUAGACAUCAUAUAUCAUAUUAGUUUGAAUCCUGGCUGUUAGCUGUUAGACUUGGGCAAAUAAUUUAACCUCAACUUUCCCUAUCUAUAAAAUGGGAAUUAAAAUAUUUGCACCUUAUAGGGUUAUUGUGAGGAUUAAAUAGGAACAUUGUAUAAAGCACUUAAAACAGUACCUGGGACAUACUAAGUAAUAUAAUUGUUAACUCUUACUAGCAUUCUGUCCCUUUUAUUUCCUAAAUAUCUCUCAUGCCCAUCUCCUAAAUAUCUCUUUCCUAAAUAUCUCUCAUGCUUUUGGCUUAAGACCUCUUUUCCUCCUUAUCUAUUGACUGGACUGCGGCAAAUGCCUGCUAAUCGUUAUUUUUGUGUUCAUUCAUUUAGCAAGCCAAUUUAUUACGCGCUUAGGGUGCUGCCAGGGCUACAAAAGCUGUUGAGACUGUACUUGAUAUGAAGAAGCUUGCUGAUUAUCAUGGGAAGACUGACAUAAGGAAGCACCAUAAAAUUCUGCUGUAUGAGAGGUAUACACGGGAUACUGGGGGUUAAUAAUUGAGGGUAUGGUCCAUUCAACAUGAGUGAGACAGAAACAAUUCAUAAAGGAGAUGAAAUGUCUUGAGGAAUGAGCUCUUAGAAGAAUAGUUUUCAAAUGAGUGUGCAUCACAGUCACCUGUAAGACUUAUUAAAACAGAUCGCUGGGCCCUACACCCAGAGGCUGUGGUUCAGUAGGCUGUAGUAAACCAGUAAUUUGUAUUUCUAUGACGUUCCCAGGUUCUAAUGCUGUUCCCCAAGGCCACACCUUGGAAACCACCACAUUAAAAUACCCAGAAGGCAUUAAUUCCCAGUCCUUCCUCUACACAGCUGCAAAACAAUGGUCCUGACCAUUUCAUCUUUGCACUACAUCCUUCACUGUCUCUCUUUUGCCCAUAGGAUAAGUACAAACUAGAUCUGGUUACUGCCUGCCCCACCAGCCUCAGCAUCUCUCACAACUAGGACUAACUUUUUCUUCUGACAACUAUAAAAUAUUUCCCUUGCCUUCUCAAGUUUGCUCAAGGUCAAGUUAUGCCUUUUGCCUGGAAUGACUUGACUUCUCUUUUGUUUUACUUAGCUGGCUGCUUUUCAUCUUGUAGGUUAGGUCAAGGACUCCAGGAAGUCUUCCCUGGACAAGUAAUGAAGAGGGCAUAAUCCAAGGGCCAACUCCCAUGUUUGGAACCUGACUCCAUUUUCAGGCACGUAAUAUUGUCAAAUUCCUUUUAAAAGCACCUGUCUGUCUGUUAACGUUGGUGCAGAUACUGCUAUUCCCCUCCUCCAUACCAUUGCUGAUGGUUACUGAGGGUAUGGGAAGGGCCGACUAGUCCAGCUGUUCACAAACAGCCCUUAAUGUCAAACUGAAUACUGCCAACGUAGUUCCAGUUUCUGUAUCUAAAGACUCAGCUUGGAGUCACUUGUCUGGACUAAAAGUAACCCCUCCUUGUCUGGUUUGUGACUUUCUGUACUCUGAUGCCCCCAGCUUUCUGCCUUCUAGAAAUUUGUCAGAAUUUCCAAAAUUCUUGGGCCUUCCUUCUUGCUCUAUAUAUGGUUUUGGAUUCAUUCCUUUUAAAAAAUAUUUACUGUCAUUUCAGUAGAAUUUUGACACAAUAAAUAUAAGCACAUC
rnacentral:lncRNA from 10 species